UACGUAGGGUGCAAGCGUUAAUCGGAAUUACUGGGCGUAAAGCGUGCGCAGGCGGCUUUGCAAGACAGAUGUGAAAUCCCCGGGCUCAACCUGGGAACUGCAUUUGUGACUGCAUGGCUAGAGUGCGGCAGAGGGGGAUGGAAUUCCGCGUGUAGCAGUGAAAUGCGUAGAUAUCAAGUGGAACACCAGUGGCGAAGGCGAGUCCCUGGACAACUCCUGACACUGAGGCACGAAAGCUAGGGGAGCAAACAGG
rnacentral:rRNA from 1 species